rnacentral:rRNA from 1 species
AGAGUUUGAUCCUGGCUCAGAAUGAACGCUGGCGGCGUGCUUAACACAUGCAAGUCGAACGAGAAAGAGAUUGCUUGCAAUCUUGAGUAGAGUGRCGCACGGGUGAGUAACACGUAGAUAAUCUACCUUCAAGCCCGGGAUAACCCUUCGAAAGGAUGGCUAAUACCGGAUGAAGUGCAUACACCCAAGUGUAUGUAUGAAAGACUGCCUCUUCAUGAAAGCAGUUGUUUGGAGAUGAGUUUGCGUACCAUUAGCUUGUUGGUGGGGUAACGGCUCACCAAGGCUGUGAUGGUUAGCUGGUCUGAGAGGAUGAUCAGUCACACUGGAACUGGAACACGGUCCAGACUCCUACGGGAGGCAGCAGUGAGGAAUUUUGCGCAAUGGGGGAAACCCUGACGCAGCAACGCCGCGUGAGUGAAGAAGGCCCUUGGGUCGUAAAGCUCUGUCAACUGGGAAGAAGUUACAUAUUAUUAACAGUGGUAUGUAUUGRCGGUACCAGUGGAGGAAGCGCCGGCUAACUCCGUGCCAGCAGCCGCGGUAACAYGGGGGGCGCAAGCGUUAUUCGGAAUUAUUGGGCGUAAAGGGCGCGUAGGCGGUCYUGUCGGUCAGAUGUGAAAGCCCGGGGCUCAACCCUGGAAGUGCAUUUGAAACAGC